UUCGUUGCUACUUCAUUACUGUAAUUCGCUAGUUAUGGAUCGUCGUGUAAAUACCAGUGUUUCCCAAUGGUCUUUGGCGACCCCUGUGGAAGAGUUGCUCCACCCCCAAAGGGGUCACGACCCACAGGUGGAGAACCCCUGAGCUCGAGCCUGACAGGAGAGAGCGCGAGUCUGAAGUGGGAAUCCACAGCUCCCGCUCAGAAUAUCAUUCGAGAAGCUGGACCUUGUCCGAGCAGCAGUCAGAAACACGGCAUCACAAAGGAGAACGGUGAAGGACUGAUGGCCUCUGCGGCCGCUCCGCGCACAGAGCUUUCCUGUCCCCGAUCGAUCACCUAACUCCCUUUCGCCGCCCUGCUGACCCUCCAGGCUGGGAACUCUUCCUUUUUCUCUUCGGACACGAACAUCCAGCCAGCCUCCCAUCGACAGCAUCAUCCCGGGUGUCUCUCCCACCUGGUCACCAAAGUGUCCCCCGUCACUGCCAGCUCCCAAACAUAGGUGGACGUAGCACCAACCACGGUGGCGGAGUGAGGCAGGUCCCGCCUUCCCACGGAACUGGGGCUGAGGGACCGCAGAGCUGAUCCUACGAGGAAGUGGGUCCUCUUUCUCCAACCAGUCUAUCCCCAUCCAUUCCUCUUUCUCCACUUCCACUCAAGACUUACAAUCCCAAGCAAAAUUUAGAGAAGACAAAAAUCUAAACUCUGAAGAUCCUAAGUAUGAGUUCAUGGAUCUGGCUACUCAGGGAAGACGCCAUGGAGGACGGCUAGAUCCGGAACUGUCAGUUAUAAGCAUGUGCAGUGUGUUCCAGAAAAAAAAUGUGCAUUUCCAGAGAAAGCUGAACAAGGAGGCAUCGUGGUGCAAGUGACUGAGUCCUGAGUCGGCAAGACAGACUCUCAUCUCUUGUCUGCUGCGAAAUAGCCGAGAGGCCUUGGGCCAACUAUUUUCUUCCUUGGACUUUCUGUCAUUUCUUCAUAAGGUUCCCAAAGGAUGAUAAAUCAGUAAUCUCAACAGUUCUUCCUCCAGCGACAUACGACACAACCCCCUGGCUGGCUCAUGAGCAUGCCAGAACUUGAUCUUAUGGGGCAAAGCUGGGACUUCCAGCUCCCUUUCCUCUUUUAAAACCCACAUCCUCAUUUGAAGACCGUAACAGUAUGAAGAAAGAGAACAUGGGCGCUUUUUUAGCUUGAACAUUCUCUGACCCUAAACAUAAACAGUCCAAGAGGCUGGGCAGCAGGACAGGUGCCGUCUGGAGCAGACCCGACAGCUCAUAGCUUUAAUCCACCUGCCUGUGAAGCCCGUCCAGCCCUGGGAGAUAUGAGCCGAGCCUGGCGACGGAGCCAAAGAUUCGUGAAAGAGAACGGAUGUCGGCUUUUCUAGAAACAGGAAUCUGAUUGGGAGGAGCCUCAGUCAGCAGGAAGGUCGUGUCUAUUGCAUAGAAAAUAAGACAUAAUGGGAGCUGGACAGGUGGCUCAGUGGUUAAGAGUGCUUGCUGCUCUCCCAGAGGACCCAGGUUCUAAUCCCAGCCCCCACAUGGCAGCUCACAACAACUUACCGCUCCAGUUCCAGAGGAUCCAACAGCCUCUUCUGACAUCCAUAGGCUCAGGCAUGCACACGAUACACAUACAUACACUCAGUCACACACACAUACACACAAAAUAAAACAAUUUUUUAAAAAGCAUAUAAUAAGAAAGUCACUUCCAUUAGAAACAUAAAGCGACUCCUAUUGUUUUAUUUUAUAUCAAAAUAACUAUGGGGCUGGGAAAGAAGAAGAAAAUAAGUGAAAUUUAAGAGAGAUCCUCACAGAAAGGCAUCUACCCUGUGGGGCAUUCCAAUCCUCUUCAAUGAGGACAGCCCAGGAGGAAAUGGAAUUUACUAGGCCCACAACUAAGGAGUAGGAUCCUCAGCCUGGGACGGGCCUGAAACCAAUGCUAGAUAAGGAUCAGAGUGGGGUGGGGUGGGGCUGCCGGACACAGAAGGAAGCUCUCUGUAGACAGCGAGUGGGUGGGUCCCAUGGCCCAGGAAACCAGCACUGAGGUGCGGAGUCUGAAGCAACUGGAACCCAUGAGCUAUCCCAGGCUGGGGGGUCCCAGGACAGCUGGUGUCCACUAGCCUGGAUGCGGUUUGAUGUGCUAGCUCUGAAACUGUCACCUUGUAGCAGGACCCUAGUUUGGAAAGAGGAAGGAAGGUCUUUGACUGGGGACCCUCCGAAUGGUGAUCUGAUGACCAAAGGUCAAAGUUGGGGGGCAACGAUCUAAGUGGUCCAUUUUUCAAGAUCAGAUUAUAUAUUUUCUAUGUAUUUUAGACAUAUCAAAUAUAUACCUAUUUUAGAAAGAUGGACUUUUAAAGAACUAGCUACAGAAACAUAUGCCAUAAGUAGCUGAGGUCACCCUGCCCUCCCUUCCAAGCUGCACAAGAUUGACUCACUCCUCAGAUGGCUUGACGUUCAGUGUUUUGCUCAAUGUUUCUGGUGAAGCCCGAGGGCAGAUUCAUAGUCGGUUUUAGUUCUUCUUUCCUGCCUUUGCAGAACGGUUUGAGGAUCCCACUGCCGCUCUGCCCACGCAUCCUCUGACUCCAGGUGACAUGUUUGGAACCAGCUCCCUUGAACCCUACCACGGCCCGUCACCACCGAGUCUUUGGAAGCCCCUUUGCAUACAGUAGGCUUUAUUGAAGAUUGGUGUGGCAAGACGGCAACACUGUACCAGUGCCUGUCAGUUACGGUUUUUAAAAAUCGGUUAUUCCUGUUUUUAGACAUCCUUUACUGCUUCCCCAGCAUGCAUAGACCCCCCCUGGGCCGGCGAGAGUUAGCACGGGAAGAAAUGGAAGAAGGGCUUAUCGGAAGGAGCCCUCCCCAGACACUUGAGAACGCCGAGGAUUCCCUGGAGCCCAGAUUCGAACUAGAGCCAGUCAUGGUAGUGAAUGCAUGUAAUCUUAGUUCUUGGAAGGUGGCGGCUCAGGGAUCUGGGGUUUAAAGCCGUCUUGGGCUACACGACACCUUGUAACAAACGAAUAAAAACAGAAACCAAACUUGGCCUUCUAGGUCAUGCAGGCGAGUGUAA